UACAGAGGUCUCAAGCGUUGUUCGGAUUCAUUGGGCGUAAAGGGUGCGUAGGCGGCGCGGUAAGUCGGGUGUGAAAUCUCGGAGCUUAACUCCGAACUGCAUUCGAUACUGCCGUGCUUGAGGACUGGAGAGGAGACUGGAAUUUACGGUGUAGCGGUGAAAUGCGUAGAUAUCGUAAGGAAGACCAGUGGCGAAGGCGGGUCUCUGGACAGUUCCUGACGCUGAGGCACGAAGGCCAGGGAGCAAACGGG
rnacentral:rRNA from 1 species